UCGCCCUUCAGCAGCAUGUAUCACAGAGCUGGCAUGAUACAGAGAAGAUUAGCAUGGCUCUUGAGCAAGGAUGGCAUACAAGUUUGUGCAACAUUCCAUUAAAUA
rfam:Dipodomys ordii contig_41971, whole genome shotgun sequence.